GAGGAUAUAGCUCAAUGGUAAAGCACUUGCCUGAUAUGCAUGAGGCCCCUUCCCUUUUUUUAUUUUUG
rnacentral:tRNA from 1 species